rnacentral:rRNA from 1 species
UGGGGAAUUUUGGACAAUGGGCGAAAGCCUGAUCCAGCAAUGCCGCGUGUGUGAAGAAGGCCUUCGGGUUGUAAAGCACUUUUGUCCGGAAAGAAAUCCUUGGCUCUAAUACAGUCGGGGGAUGACGGUACCGGAAGAAUAAGCACCGGCUAACUACGUGCCAGCAGCCGCGGUAAUACGUAGGGUGCAAGCGUUAAUCGGAAUUACUGGGCGUAAAGCGUGCGCAGGCGGUUUGCUAAGACCGAUGUGAAAUCCCCGGGCUCAACCUGGGAACUGCAUUGGUGACUGGCAGGCUAGAGUAUGGCAGAGGGGGGUAGAAUUCCACGUGUAGCAGUGAAAUGCGUAGAGAUGUGGAGGAAUACCGAUGGCGAAGGCAGCCCCUGGGCCAAUACUGACGCUCAUGCACGAAAGCGUGGGGAGCAAACAGGAUUAGAUACCCUGGUAGUCCACGCCCUAAAACGAUGUCAACUAGUUGUUGGGGAUUCAUUUCCUUAGUAACGUAGCUAACGCGUGAAGUUGACCGCCUGGGGAGUACGGUCGCAAGAUUAAAACUU